CUUGCUUUGAACUUUGAAAUAAAUAUAAGGGAGAAUAUAUUUUUGAAAAAACUUAGAAUAAUUCAUCAAAAGACUACUUUAGUAACAUUUCACCCUUUCAUUAUGCAAAAACAAAAAUUAAAUAUUGAAUUGCUUAAUUUUUUGAAUUAAUUUCCAUAUGCAUGUUCUACGAAUUUUCAAAUAUUCUACCUUUUAUUAAAUUCAAGGAAAAAGGACAUAUUUUAAAAAUUGGACCGGGCAUCCCAAUGGACUGACCCGACCCAAAUAGUCAUCCGCCCUAAAAGGGAAUUUGAUGUUUUCUUUAGGGUUUCAGAGGAAACCCUCGCGCCGCCUCAUGAUUUUCUCUUUCUUCUGUCCAUCUUUCACCAUUUUUGGCAAGAAUACAGAGGAGCAGGCUACCCUUUACUUUAUUGUAUUACAUUUUGGGAGAGCAUUAAUGGUGUUCGCUAUUUCUGAGCUUUUUCUUUACAAAAAACAAAGGCCUAGCUCAAUCCAUACUAAGGCAUGUUUGGAGUAAUCAUGAAUGAGCAAGGGAAGCAAAUAUUGUUUGAAGACCCAGCUAUGGGUGAAAAUAGCCUAGUGGGUAUUCGGGUAGCCCACUAGUGAAGAGAUUUACUUUUUAUGUAUAUGUCAUUGUAUGUAUUGUAACAUAAACUCAUAUAUACUGGAACUCCCUUUAUGAUUGGUUAGAUAAGCCAUAGAAGUUUAGGAUAAGUAAAAAAUAAAAUGAAUCACCAACUUCAUUUUUUCUAAAACUGAUUCAUCUUUAAAAAUCCUUGUCUCGGAUAACUUUUUUUUUCACAAAACAAGAUGAACCAUCUUCUUCAAAAUUGGACUUGCGUUUUUAGAUUCAUGAUUGUCCCCUCCCCUCCUUUGUAAAACAAUUUAGUUGUUAUUUUAAAACAAUCAACAAGACUGCUUUGAUUACACUUUUAAA